AUUGAACGCUGGCGGCAGGCCUAACACAUGCAAGUCGAGCGGAUGAAGGGAGCUUGCUCCUGGAUUCAGCGGCGGACGGGUGAGUAAUGCCUAGGAAUCUGCCUGGUAGUGGGGGAUAACGUCCGGAAACGGGCGCUAAUGCCGCAUACGUCCUGAGGGAGAAAGUGGGGGAUCUUCGGACCUCACGCUAUCAGAUGAGCCUAGGUCGGAUUAGCUAGUUGGUGGGGUAAAGGCCUACCAAGGCGACGAUCCGUAACUGGUCUGAGAGGAUGAUCAGUCACACUGGAACUGAGACACGGUCCAGACUCCUACGGGAGGCAGCAGUGGGGAAUAUUGGACAAUGGGCGAAAGCCUGAUCCAGCCAUGCCGCGUGUGUGAAGAAGGUCUUCGGAUUGUAAAGCACUUUAAGUUGGGAGGAAGGGCAGUAAGUUAAUACCUUGCUGUUUUGACGUUACCAACAGAAUAAGCACCGGCGAACUUCGU
rnacentral:rRNA from 1 species